UCAGGGCUCAGGCUGCUGGAAGAAUUUGUUGUGUGCAGAUCAUAUCUUAUGUGUGUGCAUUAAUUUAACCCCAUGGAAUUAAGCUGCUCUUUUUCUUCUUCACAAAGGUCUUGUGAGAAUAAACCCGGGACAUUUUAGGAUAGAGAGAUAAAUGAAACCAUUCCAACUCAUGGCACAGCCACACAGUAAAGAAAGCUCUUCUGCUCUUUGUCCUUUGGAAUACAGAGAAAACCAGCUAGAGCCCCAAAAUGACUUUUCUUGCACCUGCCUGCUGCCUCUCCAUCUCUUCCAGCUGAGAACCUGGGACACCAGGAGGAGGUAGCCCAGAGGAGCAAAACUCUGUAGUGGACAAAGAACAGCCAAUGCAUAUCAUCAGCUUGAAGAAGACACCAAGUGAUUCCAUUA